GUCUUUUUGAUAAUAAUUUAAAGUCUAACCUGCCCAAUGAUAAUUUUAAUGGCCGCGGUAUUUUGACCGUGCAAAGGUAGCAUAAUCAUUAGUUUUUUAAUUGAAAGCUGGAAUGAAUGGUUGAACGAGAAAAUUACUGUCUCAAUUUAAUUUGAUUAGAAUUUUAUUUUUAAGUUAAAAAGCUUAAAUAUAUUUAAAAGACGAGAAGACCCUAUAGAGUUUUAUAUUUUUAAUAAUUUAAAAUUUUAUAAUUUUAUAAAUUAUAUAAAAUAUUUUAUUGGGGUGAUAAAUAAAUUAAUAAAACUUUAUUUUUAUUUUAACAUUAAUUUAUGUUUAAUUGAUCCAUUUUUUAUGAUUAAAAGAUUAAAUUACCUUAGGGAUAACAGCGUAAUUUUUUUAGAGAGUUCAAAUCGAAAAAAAAGAUUGCGACCUCGAUGUUGGAUUAAAGUUAAUUUUUGGUGUAGUAGUUAAAAAAUUGAGUCUGUUCGACUUUUAAAACUUUACAUGAUCUGAGUUUAAACCGGUGUGAGCCAGGUUGGUUUCUAUCUUUAAAUAAAUAUAAUAUUUUAGUACGAAAGGACCAAAUAUUAGUAAAAUUUAUUUUUUUUAUGAAUAU
rnacentral:rRNA from 1 species